rnacentral:rRNA from 1 species
AUUGAACGCUGGCGGCAGGCCUAACACAUGCAAGUCGAGCGGAUGAAGGUAGCUUGCUCCUGGAUUCAGCGGCGGACGGGUGAGUAAUGCCUAGGAAUCUGCCUGGUAGUGGGGGAUAACGUCCGGAAACGGGCGCUAAUACCGCAUACGUCCUGAGGGCGAAAGUGGGGGUUCUUCGGACCUCUCGCUAUCAGAUGAUCCUAGGUCGGAUUAGCUAGUUGGUGGGUUAAAGGCCUACCAAGGCGACGAUCCGUAACUGGUCUGAGAGGAUGAUCAGUCACACUGGAACUGAGAAACGGUCCAGAAUCCUACGGGAGGCAGCAGUGGGAAAUAUUGGACAAUGGGCGAAAGCCUGAUCCAGCCAUGCCGCGUGUGUGAAGAAGGUCUUCGGAUUGUAAAGCACUUUAAGUUGGGAGGAAGGGCAGUAAGUUAAUACCUGGCUGUUUUGACGGUACCAACAGAAUAAGCACCGGCUAACUUCGUG